AAAUUAGUAAGCUUUAUGAAAGCGUAUGUUUUGAAAACAUAAAAUAGAAGUUUAAUUCUUCUCCUAAUUU
rnacentral:tRNA from 1 species